rnacentral:lncRNA from 1 species
GUCCAUGUAUGAAAAUAAAAAGGAGGCACCCAAGAGUUGGACGCCCCUUAUCUUGCCAUGUUUGGAUAAGCCUUGACUAGGUACUUGACUUAGACAAGGACUCUAUCAUAUCUCUCUGUAUGAAACAUGUUUCUUCAUGAAAUUUUUGUAGAACAUAGAGAUUUAAGAGACUUUGCGGCAUCCAAAAAAUCAAAGAGAAAUACAUUUGGGUCGUGGAGAUAUAAUAGAUACAAGACAAGGUGUCUAGG